AUACUUAGCUGGCAGGAGAGAUGUCAUGAUCAAGAAAGUGGUUUUCCCUGGUGAAGUUCAUCCAUUGUGUGCUGAGCCCAUGAGCCCAUCCUCAAAUGUGGGGAAACUCAACUGCACGAGUUGUAGCAGUGGAGGACCACAGCCACACUUUCCCCUG